AAUAUGGCCUGUACAACUGAAG
rnacentral:miRNA from 1 species